AAGCGUGCGCAGGCGGUUAUAUAAGACAGAUGUGAAAUCCCCGGGCUCAACCUGGGAACUGCAUUUGUGACUGUAUAGCUGGAGUGCGGCAGAGGGGGAUGGAAUUCCGCGUGUAGCAGUGAAAUGCGUAGAUAUGCGGAGGAACACCGAUGGCGAAGGCAAUCCCCUGGGCCUGCACUGACGCUCAUGCACGAAAGCGUGGGGAGCAAACAGGAUUAGAUACCCCGGGU
rnacentral:rRNA from 1 species